rnacentral:tRNA from 1 species
GCCUAGUUAGCUCGGAAGAUAGAGCGUCUGCUUUGUAAGCGCUAGGGCGCAGGUUCGAUUCCCGUCCGGGGCA